CAGUAGCCGCGGGAAUACGAAGGGGGCUAGCGUUGUUCGGAAUUACUGGGCGUAAAGCGCACGUAGGCGGAUAUUUAAGUCAGGGGUGAAAUCCCGCAGCUCAACUGCGGAACUGCCUUUGAUACUGGGUAUCUUGAGUAUGGAAGAGGUGAGUGGAAUUCCGAGUGUAGAGGUGAAAUUCGUAGAUAUUCGGAGGAACACCAGUGGCGAAGGCGGCUCACUGGUCCGGUACUGACGCUGAGGUGCGAAAGCGUGGGGAGCAAACAGGAUUAGAUACCCCCGUAGUCCCUGUCUCUUAUAC
rnacentral:rRNA from 1 species